UGUUUUUAAAGCAUUGACUUACAUGUUGCACAUCAGUUACCUAUCACAGCAAACCAUAGCUGGCCUUCCAGAUACCUGUUUCUUUCUGGGUACAUUUCUGUUACUUAUAUGGUUCUUUAUGUUUCUCUUCUGAGCUGAUCCAAUUCUGAGGGUUUGUUUCAGCAAGUCCUGAGGUAGCCCUUUAGGAGCCAGCA